AUACGUAGGGUGCGAGCGUUGUCCGGAAUUACUGGGCGUAAAGAGCUCGUAGGUGGUUUGUCGCGUCGUCUGUGAAAUUCCGGGGCUUAACUCCGGGCGUGCAGGCGAUACGGGCAUAACUUGAGUACUGUAGGGGAGACUGGAAUUCCUGGUGUAGCGGUGAAAUGCGCAGAUAUCAGGAGGAACACCGGUGGCGAAGGCGGUUCUCUGGGCAGUAACUGGCGCUGAGGAGCGAAAGCAUGGGUAGCGAACAGGAUUAGAUACCCUGGUAGUCCAUGCCGUAAACGGUGGGCGCUAGGUGUAGGGGUCUUCCACGACUUCUGUGCCGUAGCUAACGCAUUAAGCGCCCCGCCUGGGGAGUACGGCCGCAAGGCUAAAACUCAAAGGAAUUGACGGGG
rnacentral:rRNA from 1 species